GUACUUACCUGGCAGGGGAUACACCUGAUCAAUGGGGUGGUUUCCCCCGGGUGAGGCUUAUCCAUUGCCCUCCGGAUGUGUUGACCCCCCGCAAUCUUGUCAAAGGUGGGAAACUCGAUUGCAUCAUUUGUGGUUAUGAGAGGCUGCAUUAGUGCUUACCCCUA